AACGAACGCUGGCGGGAUGCCUAACACAUGCAAGUCGAACGAGACCUUCGGGUCUAGUGGCGCACGGGUGCGUAACGCGUGGGAACCUUCCCUUAGGUUCGGAAUAACUCCCCGAAAGGGGUGCUAAUACCGGAUAAUGUCUUCGGACCAAAGAUUUAUCGCCUUUGGAUGGGCCCGCGUUGGAUUAGCUAGUUGGUAGGGUAAAAGCCUACCAAGGCGACGAUCCAUAGCUGGUCUGAGAGGAUGAUCAGCCACACUGGGACUGAGACACGGCCCAGACUCCUACGGGAGGCAGCAGUGGGGAAUAUUGGACAAUGGGCGAAAGCCUGAUCCAGCAAUGCCGCGUGAGUGAUGAAGGCCUUAGGGUUGUAAAGCUCUUUUACCCGGGAUGAUAAUGACAGUACCGGGAGAAUAAGCUCCGGCUAACUCCGUG
rnacentral:rRNA from 1 species